UACGUAGGGGGCAAGCGUUGUCCGGAUUUAUUGGGCGUAAAGAGCGUGUAGGCGGUUAUACAGGUCCGCUGUGAAAACUGGAGGCUUAACCUCCAGAUGUCGGUGGAAACCGUAUGACUAGAGUCCGGAAGAGGAGAGUGGAAUUCCUGGUGUAGCGGUGAAAUGCGCAGAUAUCAGGAAGAACACCGGUGGCGAAGGCGGCUUACUGGACUGUAAAUGACGCUGAGGCUCGAAAGCGUGGGGAGCAAACAGG
rnacentral:rRNA from 1 species